GUUAGGAACCAGGCCACACAGCAGGAGGCGAGCGGCAGGCAAGCGAGCAUCACCACCUGAGCUCUGCUUCCUGCCAGAGACAUUGCACUCCACAUAGACUCGCUCUGUACCUAGUCUGGAAUGCAGUGGUGUGAUCACGGCUCAGUGCAGCCUCAAACUCCUGGGCUCAAGCAAUCCUACUGCCUCAGCCUCCUGAGUAGCUGGAACCACAGGCAUAUGCCACCAUGCCCAGGUAAUUUUUUUUUUUUUUAAGAGAUAGGGUCUCCCUAUAUAUUCCCUGGGCUGGUUGGUCUCCAACUCCUGACCUUCAACAGUUCUCUUGCCUUGGCCUCCCAAAGUGCUGAGAUUACAGAUGUGAGCCACCAUGCCCAGCUCUGUUUACAUUUUUAAAAACCAUGUCGCCACACAAGCGAGCAUUUUUUAUUCAGUUAAAUCAGAUUGUUUAAAAACCUUAACUGUGAGGCUGGGCACAGUGGCUCACACCUGUAAUCCUAGCACUUUGGGAGGCCGAGGUGGGCGGAUCACCUGAGGUCAGGAGUUCGAGACCAGCCUGAUCAAUAUGGUGAAACCUCGUCUCUACUAAAAAUACAAAAAUUAGCCGGGCAUGAUGGCACGCACCUGUAAUCUCAGUUACUCAGGCUGAGACAGGAGAAUUGCUUGAACCCCGGCGGCGGAAGUUGCAGUGAGUCGAGAUCUCACCAUUGCACUCCAGCAUGGAUGACAGAGCGAAACUCCAUCUCAAAAAUAAAAAAACAAAAACCUUAACUGUGGCAUACAUACUGAGAUGUAAAAAAAGAUUCUAGAGCCACCCACAGUCCUUGGCUGAAGGCCUCCUUCCCUCAUCUGCAAAGCCAGCAAUGCUGCAUCCGUGCCUUCUUCUGUAGUCACAUCUUCCUCUGGCUCUCUUCUGCCUCCCUCUUCCACUUUAAAGGUUCUUUCUAAUUAUAUUGGACCCAUGCAGAUAAUCCAAGAUGAUCUCCCUAUUUUAAGGUCACCUGAUUAGCCAUCUUAAUUUCCCCUUGCUAUGUAACCUAACACAUUCACAGGUUCUGGGCAUUAGGAUGUGAUGUCUUGCAGGGUGGGUACUAUUCUGCCUAGCAAACACGUGAAUGCAGUGUUCCGAGGUGUUUCUCAGGACUUACAAGAGUCACUUUAAUACUAAAGAUAAUAUACAUUCUCUAAGGAAGAGGAGUUUGCAGACUAUCCAGUGUUUUCAAUAUAUCUAGAUGUUUCAACCUGAGGAAGCUGAUUACUAUAUAUAUAUAUAUGGAGAGAAAGAGAAUAUAUAUACACUCCAUAGAGUAUAUAUACACUAUAUAUAUAUACUGUACUCUCUAGA
rnacentral:lncRNA from 1 species